GCUGUAGUCUGAUAGACCAGGGAAAUUACAUUAAACCUUUUGAAGAGAUCAGCAGUCCUGCUCAGGCUGCUGGUAGACAAGUUCAGGUUUUAGGAACUACGGGGAAAAGGCAAUCAGUGAGAGACGCACACCUGUAGCCGAUCAACUAAACUACUUAGAGAAGCCAAAUGAAAGUAAGUCAAGAGUAACAGAUCACUCAGAAGUACUGAUGGAGUCUGGUGCAGAUGAAUCCAGGGAACUGACGCACUCUCCUGAAGUGCAGGACAAUGCUGAAGCUCUAAGUGAGAUGAUGGAGUCCCUAGACGAGAAGAUGGCUCUGUGUGAGAGGGUACUUCAAGAUCUGUUAUCAGUUCAGAGAAUUAUAAAGGAAAAAAGACUGUGUGAUGCACUUUUCCAGAAACAAACCAAUCAAGCUGAUUCUACAGAAUAAUCAUGUUGGGUUUUUUUUUUUUUUUUUUUAAACCUGAGACUUGUGUAUGUAUAAAUAAAUAAAUAAUAAAAAAAUAAGACAUGA